ensembl:lncRNA
CAUUCCCAACAGCUGGCUAGUUACACUCUGGAGAGGUGGAGUCUCUGACUUAAGACGACAGCCUCUCAGAUGGCUCUGAGCGACCACUCUAAAGAGAAACGUGAAAACUUUAGUGGAAUAAAGGACCAGAGCGAAAGAGGUUCAAAGUCUUCCCACACCCCUGUGCUUAGUGGCAAAACUGAGCAGAAGAGUGAGGUAGGAGUCUCAUGUGGAGUCUCCACUCACACAUGGAGUGGAGCAAGAUUUGGGACUUGCUUACUUUUGAGAAAACAGUACCAGUCUAGCAAAACGGAGGCACUGGGAGGAUUGGAAUGAAAACUGACCUUUUCCAGUCCUGUGACCACUGCUGAGUUUUCCAAAUUUGCUGGCAUAUUGAGUGCAGCACUUUCACAGCAUCACCUUUCAGGAUUUGAAAUAGCUCAACUGGAAUUCCAUCA